rnacentral:lncRNA from 1 species
UUCAUUUAACCUUUAACAGCUAAAGAUUUCAGUUUCUUCUGUGUCUACUAAAGAUUACAUCACUGGAGAGAGACACGAAAGCUCAAGCAUCCGAAGGGCUAGAAAAUGACCAUUAAAGAUGCGUCCAAAGUUUCCAAUCUCUAAACAUGCAUGUUUCUAUCCUGAGAUGGGCCUGUUCAGCUCAUAAAUAUAAGUAGCCAACCCUCACAGUGAACCUGAAAGACAAGUCCCCGGGUCUUUAGUAUCAGCUUUGGUGACAGCGAAGACUUACAAACAUCGUGCAGAGCAUCCCACAGGUGACUCGCUCAGUUGAUGAGGUGUGAAACAGAGGCAGACCUUGGCACCCAGAGCAUUCCUCGGCAGAAGACCGAACUGCAGCGUGAAUGACACAGUCACGCAGAAUUGUAAUAAACAUUUGGAUGACUAACGGUCUGGCAAAGUCUUUGGAGCUGCUGCAUUUGAAACCACAGAGAGCCGUACCUAUCCCUGAAUCAAUUAAAAACAUCUACUGGGUGCCUAGCUGUACUGUAGUACGGCUACUUGGGAAAAUUUAAGUAUGUGUAAGAUAACAUACAUAAUUGAUGGUGUGUCUAGCCAUAUGUGCUUUUUUUUU